UUUCCGGUUGAUCCUGCCGGAGGCCACUGCUAUUGGGGUUCGACUAAGCCAUGCGAGUCUAUGGACUUCGGUCCAUGGCGGACGGCUCAGUAACACGUGGCUAACCUACCCUCAGGUGGGGGAUAACCUCGGGAAACUGAGGGUAAUACCCCAUAGGGGAAGAGGUCUGGAAUGAUCCUUCCUUGAAAGGACAUCCGCCUGAGGAUGGGGCUGCGUCCGAUUAGGUAGUUGGUGGGGUAAUGGCCCACCAAGCCUACGACCGGUACGGGCCUUGAGAGAGGAAGCCCGGAGAUGGGGACUGAGACACGGCCCCAGGCCCUACGGGGCGCAGCAGGCGCGAAACCUCCACAAUGCACGAAAGUGCGAUGGGGGAACCCCAAGUGCCUAUGCACAGCAUAGGCUUUUCCCAAGUGUGAACAGCUUGGGGAAUAAGGGCUGGGCAAGUCCGGUGCCAGCAGCCGCGGUAACACCGGCGGCCCGAGUGGUGGCCACUCUUAUUGGGCCUAAAGCGUCCGUAGCCGGUCCAGUAAGUCCCUGUUUAAAUCCUACGGCUCAACCGUAGGGCUGGCAGGGAUACUGCUGGACUUGGGACCGGGAGAGGACGAGGGUACUCCGGGGGUAGCAGUGAAAUGUGUUGAUCCCUGGAGGACCACCCAUGGCGAAGGCACUCGUCU
rnacentral:rRNA from 1 species